rnacentral:rRNA from 1 species
CAUUAUAGCCAUACCUCCUCGUCAGUGCUCAAUCUUCUCGUGUCUCUGAAGCUAAGGAGGGCUGAACCUGGUUAGCACUUGGAUGGGAGACCGCUGGCAAUACGAGGUGCCACAGUGG